rnacentral:misc_RNA from 1 species
CAAUUGUUUACAAGUUGUUUUUUUGUUAUAAUAUGUUAUUUUUUUAUUAAGUUUUGAAGAAAAAAGAAAUUAAAAAGCAAACAAACUAGGGCCAAUCAAAAAUCAAGAAAGUACAUGGCACCACUUUUGUCUCUCUCACGUAUUCCUCUUCUCAUCAUCUCUUCUACUCACUAUGAACAUCACCGACGAGACUUAGACCAUUCUCAACCACCAGCAAAGCAGCAAAUCGAUUCAACAAUCUCAUGCACGAGAGAAGAUAGGAUUAAUGGUAGCUAUGGGUAACUUAAUGAUGAGUUUUGCGAGAAGAAUUAACAAAGUUAGGAGCCAUCUUCGAUCGUCGAAAACGCGUUUCCGACGCAAAAACGAGUUUCCAUCUUUUGAUUUUUUCGAACACAGCCUCGAAAUGUAUCAUGAGCGUGUCCUACUGUCUUCGUCUUAUAAACAUUUUCAAAACAGAAAAACGCCAAUGAUUGAAGUUUUCGUACUUCACAGGAUUCCACAUAAUAUUUCCAUUCAAUACUCAUAUAUGUUCACAUGAAAGAAAGAAUUCACUCAUGUAAUUAGUCAGAGUACAGAUAAGAUAAAACCCAUAAAAUAAAGAACAUUAACGUGCUCAUAGAUCUAUGUAUACUCAUCAACAAAACCUGAAAAAGAAAAAAGAUAUUCCUUAAGGUAUAAAAAAGUAAAUUUUUUUUUCAUCUACCUUUUGCAUACACAAAUACUGUAGACAGGUGAGAAUCAGAUUGAUUUUCGAGUAGAUCGGUCCAAAAGUUCUAUAUUAUCUGCAAAUUGGGACAUCACAAAAACUCACUUGAUAUUAUUGCUAAUAUCUCCAAGAAUUGUAAAGAUUUUUCUUCCAAGCUAAAAAAUCCUUUUAAGAGAACAGAAUUAAAAGCAAUGUGAGGGGAAAAUUUUACCAAGUAAUUAAAUCCAUGAAAAAAUCAAUGGAUUGGAAAGAACUAAUUCUUAUGAACUAAGUAAAAAACCAAAACAACAGAAAAAAUAAAGAAAAAUGGCUAUUGUCGGCCAAAGAAGGUUAGCUCUUCUUUUUUUAUUCCCCUUAAAAUUGAGAUUUUAUACAUUUAAAUGUGAUUUAGAAUUUAAAGAAGACGCCAACAAAUGAGUAUGUUAAGAUUGAGCAUUUGAAGGUAUGCACAAAAAUGAAAUUAAAAGCCGAUAAUAUAUAUAAUUUCCAAUAUUUAGAAGUAUAUCAAGACUAAUAAAAACCCUAAUAAUAUUAAUCCUAAUUACGAAAAAGCUUUCAUAGCUUACUGUUUCUGCUACAGAUGUUUGAUAGAAAUUUUCUUGGUUAAUUAAGGUUAGAUUCAUGUAUAUAUAUGCCUUCCAUUGAGCUCUCUGUAGCUCCUGUUUCCUUCUCAAGUAUACGCAUAAGCAGAGAAAUUAAUUACGCUACUUACCAUAUAAUAUCAGAUUAAGAGUAGUUUAAUUAGCAGACAGGUAUAAGCUUGAUGCUUCCACUCUGCAUCAUUCUCUUGAACUCAUCAAAAUUAACCAUUCCAUCUCCAUCCAUAUCAACCUUUCUAAUCAUUUCUUUCCAAUCUUCUAUUCUUUUUCCUUCGUUUAAUCCCAAAGAAGACAACACCAAUCCAAGUUCUUCCACUGAUAUCAACCCAUCUUUAUUUCUAUCAAAUACAUCAAAUGCCUCCUUCAAAUCUCCUUCCCCUUCUGCUCUUCCAUUAUUCCCACCUUCAUCCCCCAAUUCUUGACCACCACAUCCCAUGAAGUCCUCGCACAAGAGGCAAAACUCUUCAUAAUCUAUCAACCCAUCUCCAUUAGAAUCAACCUUUGCCACCAUUUCUUCAACUUCCUUCUCCGUCAUGAAGAUUCUCACGUUCUUGAGCGACUCUCUCAGUUCUUGCUUUGUUAUAAACCCAUCGCCAUUCUUGUCAAAGGUAGCAAACACACUCUUCAGCGCUCCGUUGUUCUUGCUAUUACAAGAAGUAGUAUUCAUAUCCACCUGUGGAGAGACUUUCGAAGAAGCUGCAGGAUUCUUGAAGAGAAAAGACUGGAGCCAAGAAUACAGCUCCUUGGAAGUAGCAUAGAAGUAAAUAUUGAGAAGACCAGCAAGGAAGGGAAGAAGUAAAAGUAAGAGCAUAGCAGCUGAUGAGACCAUGUUUGGAUGAAAUGGAAGAAUAAAGAUAGAGAAGAGAGAAAACGAGAAAGGACAAAUAAAGGUAGUAGAGC